CUUGGGUUCCCCGCCCUCCCACCAGCCGGCUCCCCGAGCCUUCGCCCCGCUGACCACCCUGCCUUGCACCCCGGUUUGCGGCAGUCGGUGAGGUGUACUGGCAGUGGUGGUGGCCGCCGCACAGGCUGGAGAAGGAGGCGGCGGGAGAAGGAGGCAGACUCCGGUCUUCUGCCUCCCGCCCGGCUGGAGGUAGGCAAAAGGGAGGAAUGGAGGCAAGCCACGGAACAGCGGUUGACAAUGAUGGCAAGCAAAGGGAAGCCACUCAGCCACAGAGGUGACCUACCAGCCUUUCCUCCACCCCUCCCCAAGUCUGAGUUUGGAUCACUCAUGGAGACACCAAUUGAAACAUUUAUAGGCGAAAUGAUGUGGCGUCCGGGAUUCACACUGAGGAAUCCGGGAAGGAGGAAGUGGGCGAGGAUAUCGAUGAAACAAGAUUCGUCAUGAAUUGUUAAUUGUUGAAUCUGGCAAACUGGAAGGAUGGGGAGUUCGGGAGUCCAGGGGCCUGACGGGACAGACAAUGACAAGGAAGAAGAAGUCAGGAUGACAGUCAACCUCAAACAAAGGAGCAGAGAUCCCAGGGGAGGGAAUCAGCUGGAGAAGUGGUCCCAAUGACCCCAGAGGAGACUCGAGGGUCUCCCCGAAGCUCAUUGGAGCCUACCUCUCCUUGCAGCCAUCCCCAUUUGUAUUGAUGGUGUCCCCAAACCUACCUUCCAGCCUGGCCCCAUCACAUCCUUGCUAUGUGACCUUGAUUCUCUGCGUCUGUUUCUUUGUCUGAAAUGGUAGUGGCAGUGAGAGGUAUCCUGUCCCUUUCAGACUUGGAUAAAUUCACGAAUCCAUGUAUUUUGCCUUGUUAAUAAAAGAUGCAAGAGCAGCGA